rnacentral:rRNA from 1 species
UGGGGAAUAUUGCACAAUGGGCGCAAGCCUGAUGCAGCCAUGCCGCGUGUGUGAAGAAGGCCUUCGGGUUGUAAAGCACUUUCAGCGAGGAGGAAGGUGGUGAGCUUAAUACACUCAUCAAUUGACGUUACUCGCAGAAGAAGCACCGGCUAACUCCGUGCCAGCAGCCGCGGUAAUACGGAGGGUGCAAGCGUUAAUCGGAAUUACUGGGCGUAAAAGCGCACGCAGGCGGUUUGUUAAGUCAGAUGUGAAAUCCCCGGGCUCAACCUGGGAACUGCAUUUGAAAACUGGCAAGCUAGAGUCUCGUAGAGGGGGGUAGAAAUUCCAGGUGUAGCGGUGAAAAUGCGUAGAGAUCUGGAGGAAUACCGGUGGCGAAGGCGGCCCCCUGGACGAAGACUGACGCUCAGGUGCGAAAAGCGUGGGGAGCAAAACAGGAUUAGAUACCCUGGUAGUCCACGCUGUAAAACGAUGUCGAUUUUGGAGGUUGUGCCCUUGAGGCGUGGCUUCCGGAGCUAACGCGUUAAAUCGACCGCCUGGGGAGUACGGCC